GCGUCGGUGGUAUAACGGCUAUUAUAGCUGCCUUCCAAGCAGUUGAUCCGGGUUCGACUCCCGGCCGACGCA
rfam:Sarcoptes scabiei Contig11566, whole genome shotgun sequence.